GAUGAACGCUAGCGGCAGGCCUAAUACAUGCAAGUCGAACGGUGUAGCAAUACACAGUGGCGCACGGGUGCGUAACACGUAUGCAACCUACCUUACAUUGGGGGAUAGCCUUUCGAAAGGGAGAUUAAUACCGCAUAAGACAGUAACUAGGCAUCUAGUAGCUGUUAAAGAUUUAUCGAUGUAUGCUGGGCAUGCGUCCAAUUAGUUAGUUGGCGAGGUAAUGGCUCACAAAGACGAUGAUUGGUAGGGGAACUGAGAGGUCAAUCCCCCACACUGGCACUGAGAUACGGGCCAGACUCCUACGGGAGGCAGCAGUAGGGAAUAUUGGGCAAUGGGCGCAAGCCUGACCCAGCCAUGCCGCGUGCAGGAAGAAGGCGUUAUGCGUUGUAAACUGCUUUUAUACAGGAAGAAACGACCCUUGCGAGGGGCAUUGACGGUACUGUAUGAAUAAGCACCGGCUAACUCCGUGCCAGCAGCCGCAGUAAUAC
rnacentral:rRNA from 1 species